CGCCUUCGCUAGGGGUGUCGGCCUGCGCAAGCAGCUCCGACUGAGAGAGUCCCUUUGAACCUGAUUGAGAUCAUCCUCGCGCAGGGAAGCAGUCCGCAUACGCC
rnacentral:ncRNA from 2 species